UACGGGGGGGGCAAGCGUUGUUCGGAAUUAUUGGGCGUAAAGCGCACGUAGGCGGUCCGUUAAGUCGGAUGUGAAAGCCCCCGGCUCAACCGGGGAAGUGCAUCCGAAACUGGCGGGCUAGAGUACGAAAGAGGGUCGCGGAAUUCCCGGUGUAGAGGUGAAAUUCGUAGAUAUCGGGAGGAACACCGGUGGCGAAGGCGGCGAACCUGGGUCGAUACUGACGCUGAGGUGCGAAAGCGUGGGGAGCAAACAGG
rnacentral:rRNA from 1 species